rnacentral:rRNA from 1 species
AUUGAACGCUGGCGGCAGGCUUAACACAUGCAAGUCGAGCGGGGUGAUGGUGCUUGCACUAUCACUUAGCGGCGGACGGGUGAGUAAUGCUUAGGAAUCUGCCUAUUAGUGGGGGACAACAUCUCGAAAGGGAUGCUAAUACCGCAUACGUCCUACGGGAGAAAGCAGGGGAUCACUUGUGACCUUGCGCUAAUAGAUGAGCCUAAGUCGGAUUAGCUAGUUGGUGGGGUAAAGGCCUACCAAGGCGACGAUCUGUAGCGGGUCUGAGAGGAUGAUCCGCCACACUGAGACUGGGACACGGCCCAGACUCCUACGGGAGGUAGCAGUGGGGAAUAUUGUGCAAUGGGGGGAGCCCUGAUCCAGCCAUGCCGCGUGUGUGAAGAAGGCCUUAUGGUUGUAAACCACUUUAAGCGAGGAGGAGGCUCGUUUGGUUAAUACCCAAGAUGAGUGGACGUUACUCGCAGAAUAAGCACCGGCUAACUCUGUGCCAGCCGCCGCCGUAA